GAUGAACGCUGGCGGCGUGCCUAAUACAUGCAAGUCGAGCGAACAGACGAGGAGCUUGCUCCUCUGACGUUAGCGGCGGACGGGUGAGUAACACGUGGAUAACCUACCUAUAAGACUGGGAUAACUUCGGGAAACCGGAGCUAAUACCGGAUAACAUGUUGAACCGCAUGGUUCAACAGUGAAAGACGGCCUUGCUGUCACUUAUAGAUGGAUCCGCGCCGCAUUAGCUAGUUGGUAAGGUAACGGCUUACCAAGGCAACGAUGCGUAGCCGACCUGAGAGGGUGAUCGGCCACACUGGAACUGAGACACGGUCCAGACUCCUACGGGAGGCAGCAGUAGGGAAUCUUCCGCAAUGGGCGAAAGCCUGACGGAGCAACGCCGCGUGAGUGAAGAAGGUCUUCGGAUCGUAAAACUCUGUUAUUAGGGAAGAACAAAUGUGUAAGUAACUAUGCACGUCUUGACGGUACCUAAUCAGAAAGCCACGGCUAACUACGUG
rnacentral:rRNA from 1 species